UAUCCUCUCUCUUUCCGAGCGCCGCUCUCUCCCUCUCCCAAACACCAAAACCUUAGUUUUUUCAGAUCUGUGACUGGGAAGUCACUACGGUGGUUGGCGCUUCUCGUCGACGCUGUCAGUGGCUUCCCCUUUUCGUUUGUGUUGUAGUUUUUUGGUUCUGCAAUUCGUUUAUCUCUUGUAUUUCGUUGGAGAAAAGCUUAUUGUGGUAGAAAUGGUAGAUCUUCACGGCGAGGGUGUUUGGUUAUGUCGGUGGUCAGCUGCUGCAGAGAGGGUUGUUGUUGGGUGUCUGAGAUCUAUAGAUCUGGCGGGUGCUCUGUUCUUGUUGGAGGAUCUCGAGAUUUGGUUUUCGUGAAUCCAUGGCCAUGGUCUCGUCUGUUUCUGCUGUCCGAACCUUAAGUUUGCCGAGUUCCUUCUUCUUCUUGUUGUUCAUAGUGGGUGAUAGUCUUCUCUGUUUUCGUCGGUCUCGUCUAUGUGAUUGGUGUUAUACGAGAAGUUAGGCCUCGCUCCUCGCGUUUUGAAGACUUCUAGUUUGAAGUUCUUUGGCGUAUCAACGUCAUCGUCGCUUCCGGAAGUGAGUGGUCUUGUUUGCCGUGUUAUGAAGUCUCUGGUUCUUGGUUACGAGAGAUCGGUUCUCAUCGUGUUAGGAGGUGGUUGAUGUUAUUCUUGAGUUGGCCGUAGACAUCCUUGGUAAAUCUCAUCCGUUUGUGCGUUAGAAGAAGAAGUUCUUUGCUCUAUUGGUUCUAUUGUUUAUGUUAAGGUUUUAUGGCCGGUUGCUUUUUUUUUAGAUUAAGGUUGUUGUUCCCUUUCGUUUUUAUUAUCAAAUGCUCUGUUAUAUAUGGUUUUUUUGUGAACUUUGUUAGUUUCCGGGGAAAUCUUGUUUUCCUCCGGCCUUUUGACUCCAAAGAUAUUCUUGUAGUCUGUCGGCUUAAGCCUCCCCUCUUUUGGAUGUAGUAUUCCAUUUUGUAUUCUACCUUAA